rnacentral:rRNA from 1 species
UGGUGGGUAGUUUGACUGGGGCGGUCUCCUCCCAAAGAGUAACGGAGGAGCACGAAGGUUAGCUAAUCACGGUCGGACAUCGUGAGGUUAGUGCAAAGGCAUAAGCUAGCUUGACUGCGAGAGUGACGGCUCGAGCAGGUACGAAAGUAGGUCUUAGUGAUCCGGUGGUUCUGAAUGGAAGGGCCAUCGCUCAACGGAUAAAAGGUACUCCGGGGAUAACAGGCUGAUACCGCCCAAGAGUUCAUAUCGACGGCGGUGUUUGGCACCUCGAUGUCGGCUCAUCACAUCCUGGGGCUGAAGUAGGUCCCAAGGGUAUGGCUGUUCGCCAUUUAAAGUGGUACGCGAGCUGGGUUUAGAACGUCGUGAGACAGUUCGGUCCCUAUCUGCCGUGGGCGUUGGAAGAUUGAGAGGGGCUGCUCCUAGUACGAGAGGACCGGAGUGGACGAAUCACUGGUGUUCGGGUUGUCAUGCCAAUGGCAUUGCCCGGUAGCUAAAUUCGGAAGAGAUAACCGCUGAAAGCAUCUAAGCGGGAAACUUGCCUCGA